rnacentral:piRNA from 1 species
UACAGUUGCCUUUUUUUGUCUCUCCCUGGU